ensembl:rRNA 5S_rRNA 5S ribosomal RNA
GUCUACGGCCAUACCACCCUAAACAUGCCCAAUCUCAUUUGGUCUCAGAAGCUGAGCAGGGUCGGGCCUGAUUAGUACUUGGAUGGGAGACAAAUCUUCAAAAGAGACUGCUCAGAGACAAGCAGGUUGGAGACA